UUUUAGUGGAGAGGCUCCUCUCUAUUCAUUCGCCUGACUUGGGGCAGUUGAGUUAUGUCUCUGUUUCCUAAACAACUGCAUCCAUGUUAGUUAAACUAAUUAAAAGUUCAUUAACUAACUCCAAGUGAUGUAAAAUUAAGAAACAAACCAUUAACACAAACACUCACAAAAGAAACAAAAAACAUCAAAUAUACACACGUUUACAUAUAUUUAUAGAAGAUCACGCGCAGAGAUCGCGAGUGUAAAGAGAGAGGCGACAUAUCACUUGCGUCAAUCUAUCUGUCUAUACACACGCGCACAUGUAAUACAUACAUAAGCGCAUAUAUGUUUAUACACUUGCGAUAUAUAUAUAUAUACAUAUAUAAUAUAGUACAUGUUUGAAUAUAUUUAAAUAUCAUAUAUAACAUAUAAUUAAAGGUUAUUUUAUUUUCCCUGGAUUGACAUCGAUACGCUGAAUAUUUGGAUAUUUUAAAUCUCUGGUGACUUGCGUUCUACCACUACCAUCAUAUAUACAUAAAUACACAGUCAUAUGCAAAUAUAUAUACAUUCCACGCAUACAUAUCUGAAUAUAUAUAUGAACUGAGGAACUGAGUGUUCAGUUCAGAAGUAGAGUGUUAGUAUUUAUAUAUAACGCCGAGAAUAGUUAUUUAACGGAUUAUCGAAAAUAUAAUUUGGCCCAAAACGUGAUAAAUAUUUCAGGAUGACCGAGGGAAAAGCAACACAAGGAGAGCCAGAGGGGGCAAUUGCUCGUGAACAAUGGGGUCAUAAAGUAGAAUUUAUUCUCUCCCUUGUUGGUUAUGCUGUCGGAUUAGGAAACAUUUGGAGAUUUCCUUAUCUUGCAUACGAAAAUGGAGGAGGUGCCUUCCUGAUUCCAUAUGCAAUUAUGUUAUUCAUUGCUGGCUUACCUUUAUUUUUCCUUGAGCUUUGCUUUGGUCAGUUCUCAUCUCUCGGUUCGGUAACAAUCUGGAAAAUCUCACCAGCUUUUAAAGGUGUCGGUUUUAGCAUGGCCCUUGUAUCUCUGAUGGUAUCCAUCUAUUACAAUGUAAUUAUCAUGUAUUCUGUGUAUUAUAUGAUGGUGUCAUUUGUCUCUCUCGAUACUAAAUUACCCUGGUCUACCUGCAACAAUACAUGGAAUACUAAUCGAUGUACCUUAAGUAAACCAAACUAUGCCAUCUUGAACGAAACAGAGAAAGUAAAAGCAGUCUUACCAUACACCAAUCUGACAUGCCUGGCUGAGAAACAACAAAAUGAAAUUUUCAACUACACCCAGAUAAUAAAUCAGACUGACUGCGCCAUCAAGUCUUCACUUCCGGCUCAAGAAUAUUGGGACUUCGUCAUGUUGCGCAUCAAUGAGUCAAGUGGUAUCGGAGAUCUGGGAACUGUCAGUCUGAAAAACAUUCUAGCAUUACUUAUCACUUGGAUAAUCAUCUAUCUUUGUCUUCGUGGUGGAGUAAAAAGCUCUGGAAAGGUUGUUUACUUCACCGCUACAUUUCCUUAUUUGAUGUUGGUAAUACUGUUGAUUAGAGGCCUUACAUUACCCGGUUAUUACAAAGGUAUAGAAUUCUAUAUCAUACCAAAAUGGGAACGUCUUCUUGAUGUUAAGGUUUGGUCACGAGCUGCCACACAGAUCUUUUACUCUCUCGGUCCAGCCUUUGGUUCUCUAAUUACGAUGUCGAGUUAUAACAAGUUCGAAAAUAACUGCUACAGGGAUGCUAUCUUUGUGGCUCUUGUAAACUGUGGAACCAGUGUUUUUGGUGGAUUUGUCGUCUUCUCAAUGGUCGGUUACAUGUCUGAAAUUACCAAUAUGCCUGUGGACGAGAUCCCAAUUGGAGGUGCUGGUCUAGUUUUCAUAGCUUACCCAGAGGGACUGAGUAGAAUGCCGGUAUCCCCACUCUGGAACUUCCUCUUCUUCUUCAUGAUUUUUACGUUGGGAUUAGACAGUCAAUUUGCCAUGAUGGAAUGUGUUAUAAGUUCAAUCGUCGAUGAAUUCCCUCACAAACUUCGUGCAAAGAAGGGACUUGUCACCGCAGGUUGUUGCUUUGUUGCUUUUCUGCUCGGAAUACCUUGCGUUACGGUGGGUGGUAUGUACGUUCUGACAUUGAUGGACAACUACACUGCCAGCUAUGGUCUAAUAUGCAUCUGUCUGACAGAGCUAAUUGCUAUCAACUGGGUUUAUGGAUUCAAGAAUUUCUGCAUGGAUAUCGAAAUGAUGCUUGGAUUUCAACCAGGAAUUUACUGGAAGGCUUGUUGGGUAGUUAUUACGCCGAUCGCCCUUGUAUUCAUUCUGAUUAUGUCAGCAGUGGGUAAUGUGAGAGCCUCCUACCAAGAUUAUUUUUUUGAAGACUGGGCGCAAGGAGUGGGGUGGGCUCUGGUGGGACUGCCAAUUGUCCUCAUCCUUGUCACCGGUAUAUACCAGUUCUUUAAAUUUGGUAGAUCGUUUAAAAAAGUCUUCGGGCAUACAGAUGACUGGGGACCUGGUUUAAAUGAAAACAGAACUGGUCGCUACCAGCCGAUUUCUGUAUCCGACGCAAACCUACCAGAUUAUUUAAAGGCAGUCGAAAAGCCUUCAAGGCCUGAUGAUGUAGUUGUCACUAAAUUUUAAUAUUGACUUCAUAUAGUUGAGAGAAUAUUUAAACAACAGCAAUAAUAAUAAUAAUAAUAAUAAUAAUCAGAAGAAGAAAAAGAAGAACAACAACAGCAGCAGCAACAACAACAGCAGCAGCAACAAGAAGAACAACAACAACGACAACAACGUUAACAAUAUUAAUGAAAAUACCAAGACUAAUAUUAAUAAACUUUCUCACUGCCAUCCUAAUUCUUAUGGCGAAUGAUAAAACUUGCUCAAUACGGAGCAUAAGUCUCGGAUUUCUAGACAACGGCAAAUGAGAUUUCGUGCGGUUCAGUACGUUAUUAUAGGUUGGAGUUAUUGACAUAGAAGAACUUAUACAGCCGCUAACUCCAACCACUACUUACUAAACUAUGUAUAUAUAAUGAUACAAUAUAUACUCAUCUAUGUACGUGUGAAUGUUUACAAUAAAUAAUUUUAGGCAAUGUAAAAAUAUAUAUAACUAUACUUAUAAUAUGCUUAUAUAUAUAUAUAUACGUGUGUGUGUGUGUGUGUGCAUUAUGUAUAUAUAGUUAGGUUAUAUUCUUUUAAGAAUGCUGCAGAAUAUCUUAUAAAGCUCGUCCACCUUCAGAUUUCACAGUUGGGGAUUUAUUUGUAAUCACUACAAUUGUUUCCACGCAACGUAGUUCUCCAAGUCGCAGGUAUUUGGUUAUGUAACCGUUUCCCUGCAUUAUGAGAUCUAGUUGUGCUUCCUCGGGUGAUAUAUAAAUAUUGUCUCUGUAAACUCAGAUUCUCGGCUUCAAGCCCAUCUUUUCUGUCUGUCGUGGCCUGCGAGGUAGUAAUAGCCACUUAGUGUGUGUGUGUGUGUGUGUGUGUGUGUGUGUGUGUGUGUGUGUAAUUAUAUAGCUGUUGUUUAGAUAUGACAAUAAUUAUAUUUGAACAUGUUUUUCUGUAUUUUGUGAAACUUUUCUUGUAUAUAGCUGCAUGAAGGCUUUUCAUGAUACCUAUCUUUUGCAACUGAAUUAUACCCGGUCACAAACGAUAUCACAGGCAGUCACAUUAUGUGCUUUAUACGUGUGUGUGUGUGGGUGUGUUUAAAUACAUGUAUAUGUGCGUGUAUGUGUUUGUAUAUAUGUACACACACGCGCGCACCCACACAUACACACACACAUGGUCUAUCAUUAUCAUGAAUGCCAUAAUAUGUAAUGAAAACAUUUCAAGUUUCGACUUAAAGGACCUUUUGCACAAAAUGGCCCCCUAUUUUUCGUCCACAGUUUUCAGGGAAGAGAAAUGAAUUCUGUUAACAUUAAAGUUAUUUGGCAAUACAUAUCAUUCCACCCCUCUCAUGCUGUAACAGGCCCAUUGAAUUUACUCUCUACAUACCACACUGGUCUGUAUCGUAUGACAAUAUAUUCCUUAUUUUGUCAGGUGAUUUAUUCUUUAUGAUUCUGCAUGUAAACCUGACGGAUUAUCCUGUAGACCACUUAAGCGUCCUGUUACAUUAUGACACAGCUCUGAGCAGCUCCAUGACUUUUUCCAAAAAAUAUUCGAAAAAAAAAAAAAUCCUAUUCCUACAAGUUUAUCUCUAAUGUAAACUGAACAACUGUCAUA